rnacentral:precursor_RNA from 13 species
GCGGGCACGCACCAUUUCCAGUGGGUUGCCUCCCUCGCCCCCUCUCCGGAGCCGUCCCCUCUGACUCACCGGUACGGGAGGUUGCGAGGUUCGCAGCUCGGGCUGGAAUAAGAAAGAUUUCUU